UACGUAGGUGGCGAGCGUUGUCCGGAUUUACUGGGCGUAAAGAGCGCGCAGGCGGUCGUACAAGUCGCGUGUGAAAGCCCCCGGCUCAACUGGGGAGGGUCACGCGAUACUGUUCGACUCGAAGGCAGGAGAGGGAAGCGGAAUUCCCGGUGUAGUGGUGAAAUGCGUAGAUAUCGGAAGGAACACCAGUGGCGAAAGCGGCUUCCUGGUCCAGCACCGACGUUCAGGCACGAAAGCGUGGGGAGCAAACAGG
rnacentral:rRNA from 1 species